GGGUCUUUUUCUUGUCUGCGCUACUCUAGAGUCAAGGCACUGUUUCCUCUGUUGCAGUCUCGCUGCUAUUCCAUCUAGUGUCCUUCAACACCACCGUAGCCCCCUCCGUCUCCGGCGACGGAGCUGCUGCUGCAACUUUCUUUACACAUCCUCUACACGCUCUGCACCCCGACCACAAACCACCACAAAGGUUUGUUCUCAGUGCUUCCCUGCCCUUUCUCUGUUUCGAGAUUUGUUGAUUUAUAUAUGUAUGUACUGAGAGAAAGGAAGUGAAUCCCUUGGUUGAUUCGCAGCUCAAACCCUAGUCUAAGAUUAAAAAUCAUCAAGUUUUUCCUCUGUUCUUAGCUAUUUAAUUGCUUAUCUUUCUUCUGCCUAUAUAUAUCUAUAUGAGACUGAAAUUGCCCUAAUUCUAUCUGAACUUCAUGUGUUUUCUUAUCCGUUGUUUCUUGUUGUUUGUUUUUAUUGUUAAAUUGUUAAUUUUUUUUUAUGGGGUUUGCUUUAAAAGCUUCAAAGGCAUCUAUUAUACUCUGAAUUUGUAAUAUCCUUCAACAGUAAUUGCAGCAAUAAGCAUGUAUUUAUUAUCCUCAGGUUAGUAGGACAAUAAACUGGAUGAAAUUGCCUCAUAAACUUGAUAUUGAAUGCUGAAUUUGUGAGAAUCAUAACUCUGAACAAACGUGAUCAUCAAAUGUACAAAAUCUUGGUCUGGGCUCAGGUUUUUAUCCCUAUUAGGGAAAAUAAUGCAGGACUUUUGUCCGUCUAGUCAAAGAAUAUUGAUAUUAUGGAUUUAUUUGACAGAUAUUUUAUCGUGCCUGUAAUUCCAACUUGUGGAGUAUGGACCGGUUAGCCAUAUCCUUUCUUCUAUUGGUUCCUGAAAUUUCUAUAUAAACAUAGGAACAACCCAAUAGACAACUUAAGCAUUCGAAGCUUAGAAAGAUUCUGAACAAAGAUGGCUGGUCAAGAAAAAACUCUAGUGGAAAUCUUAGAAGAGAAUAACCCUAUUGAUCUUUCCAAAUGCAUAAACUAUGUCAGUGCUCCACAGGCUGGUGCCAUAGCUACAUUUUCAGGCACAACUCGGGACACAUUCGAAGGGAAGAUAGUUGUGGAGCUAAGGUAUGAAGCAUAUGUACCAAUGGCGGUACGCCAGAUCAAAUCCAUAUGUUCAUCAGCUAGAUUAUCUUGGAAUGUCCACUCCAUUGCUGUUGCACACCGCCUGGGUCCAGUUCCAGUCGGAGAAACUAGUGUCUUUAUUGCAGUAUCAGCUGUUCAUCGAGCUGAUGCUCUGGAUGCUUGUAAGUUUGUUAUUGAUGAGUUAAAGGCAUCUGUUCCAAUAUGGAAGAAGGAAGUUUAUUCCAAUGGAGAGGUUUGGAAGGAGAAUUCGGAGUUUAUGGAGAGGAGGCAGGAACUAGGAAAGACGGGCUGCUGCAGCAAGAAGGUUGAGUUUGAGGCACAUGUCACAAAGGGCUGCUGUGGAUCUAAGGUCAAAGUGAAUGAUGAAGCUGCAAAAGAUGAGCAUCAAUGAUGAAACUGAGAAAUAGAAAAUUCCAUGGAAAUUGCAGGAUUUAUUUUUUUCUUAACUUUUGUUUAAACACAAGGAAAAUAAAAAGGGAAAUGAUUGUACCAGUAUUUUAUGUAACUUGUCUAAAUAAAAUGCUGGCCCUUCUGGUUUGUUCUUCACUCAAAUUCCACAUACCAAUUGGGAUGGUAUGGUGAUUUGAGUUCAUAUCAGCAUGUUUUACAUUGCCGUUCUUGAGUAAGAAGUAGCUUUUUGUGACUCUGCUUUCCCUUCUAAUAAGUCGACCCACCACCGUAAAUGAAAAGUUCAUAUAUUGUUUGGUUAUGGAUGAAAUUUGACCCACCAUAAAUGAAAAUUGUUUGCAACUUCGUUUUUUCUCUACUUGCACGCCGUCAAGAAUGGUUAUGGGUUUAGGUUAGGCUAACCUUUAACAGAAUUGAAUUGUUCGUUAGCCAGAAGACAAGACUCACUGGCAAACGAAAUUGGCUUUUUGCAGAAUCUAG
rnacentral:misc_RNA from 1 species